rnacentral:rRNA from 1 species
AGAGUUUGAUCCUGGCUCAGGAUGAACGCUAGCGACAGGCCUAACACAUGCAAGUCGAGGGGCAUCGGGGCGAGGAGCAAUCCUUGCCGCCGGCGACCGGCGCACGGGUGAGUAACGCGUAUGCGACCUGCCCGUUGCAGGGGGAUAAUCGGGAGAAAUCCCGUCUAAUACCGCGUAAUGCCGCGGGGCUGCAUGGCCCUGCGGCCAAAGGGAGCGAUUCCGGCAACGGAUGGGCAUGCGUGACAUUAGCUAGUUGGCGGGGCAACGGCCCACCAAGGCGACGAUGUCUAGGGGUUCUGAGAGGAAGGUCCCCCACACUGGUACUGAGACACGGACCAGACUCCUACGGGAGGCAGCAGUGAGGAAUAUUGGUCAAUGGGCGCGAGCCUGAACCAGCCAAGUCGCGUGAGGGAUGACGGCCCUAUGGGUUGUAAACCUCUUUUAUAAGGGAAUAAAAUACGGGACGUGUCCUGUUUUGCAUGUACCUUAUGAAUAAGGACCGGCUAAUUCCGUGCCAGCAGCCGCGGUAAUACGGAAGGUCCGGGCGUUAUCCGGAUUUAUUGGGUUUAAAGGGAGCGCAGGCGGUCUUAUAAGCGUGACGUGAAAUGCAGCGGCUCAACCGUAUGAUGUGCGUCGCGAACUGUGAGACUUGAGUGUAUUCGAUGUCAGCGGAAUUUGUGGUGUAGCGGUGAAAUGCUUAGAUAUCACGAAGAACUCCGAUUGCGAAGGCAGCUGACAAGGCUACAACUGACGCUAAAGCUCGAAAGUGCGGGUAUCGAACAGGAUUAGAUACCCUGGUAGUCCGCACGGUAAACGAUGGAUGCCCGGUGUUUGCGAUAUACAGUGAGCGCCCAAGCGAAAGCGUUAAGCAUCCCACCUGGGGAGUACGCCGGCAACGGUGAAACUCAAAGGAAUUGACGGGGGCCCGCACAAGCGGAGGAACAUGUGGUUUAAUUCGAUGAUACGCGAGGAACCUUACCCGGGCUUGAACUGUAGGCGAACGAUCCAGAGAUGGUGAGGCCCUUCGGGGCGCCUAUGGAGGUGCUGCAUGGUUGUCGUCAGCUCGUGCCGUGAGGUGUCGGCUUAAGUGCCAUAACGAGCGCAACCCCUCUCUUCAGUUGCCAUCAGGUUAUGCUGGGCACUCUGGAGACACUGCCACCGUAAGGUGUGAGGAAGGUGGGGAUGACGUCAAAUCAGCACGGCCCUUACGUCCGGGGCUACACACGUGUUACAAUGGGUGGUACAGAGAGUUGGGUGUACGCAAGUGCAUUCUAAUCAAGAAAGCCAUCCUCAGUUCGGACUGGGGUCUGCAACCCGACCCCACGAAGCUGGAUUCGCUAGUAAUCGCGCAUCAGCCAUGGCGCGGUGAAUACGUUCCCGGGCCUUGCACACACCGCCCGU